rnacentral:miRNA from 1 species
CAACUUUGCUGUUUAUGACGUCGAUAUUCGACGUCAUAAACACCAUCAACUUAGGUGUUUAUGACGUCGAUAUUCGACGUCAUAAGCACCAUCAACUUAGGUGUUUAUGACGUCGAUAUUCGACGUCAUAAAAACGAUCAAAUUUGGUGUUUAUGACGUCGAUAUUCGACGUCAUAAACACGAUCAAAUUUG